rnacentral:rRNA from 1 species
UACGAAGGGAGCUAGCGUUGUUCGGAAUCACUGGGCGUAAAGGGCUCGUAGGUGGCCAACUAAGUCGGACGUGAAAUCCCUCAGCUUAACUGGGGAACUGCGUCCGAUACUGGAUGGCUUGAGUUUGGGAGAGGGAUGCGGAAUUCCAGGUGUAGCGGUGAAAUGCGUAGAUAUCUGGAGGAACACCGGUGGCGAAGGCGGCAUCCUGGACCAACACUGACACUGAGGAGCGAAAGCCAGGGGAGCAAACGGG